rnacentral:lncRNA from 1 species
AAAUACAUACAGAGUCGUCACUGGACUUUAUUUAUUCUAAAGGAAAGGGAACUCUCUCACUCUUAUAGUAACACUAGUUAUUGUUAUUGCUAUACACACUCAUUUCUUCUCGUAUAUUUGCAGGGACGGUAAUAUUGACAAAAAUGCUUGAAUCGGAAAGAAUGUUACCAAAAAAAACUCUCAAAGUUAUGCUUUUAAAACUAAUUUACAUUAAAAUACUACCAAUUUUCUAUAUAAG